AUUGAACGCUGGCGGCAUGCCUUACACAUGCAAGUCGAACGGCAGCACGGGAGCAAUCCUGGUGGCGAGUGGCGAACGGGUGAGUAAUAUAUCGGAACGUGCCCGGUCGUGGGGGAUAACGUAGCGAAAGCUACGCUAAUACCGCAUACGAUCUAUGGAUGAAAGCGGGGGAUCGCAAGACCUCGCGCGAUUGGAGCGGCCGAUAUCAGAUUAGGUAGUUGGUGAGGUAAAGGCUCACCAAGCCGACGAUCUGUAGCUGGUCUGAGAGGAUGAUCAGCCACACUGGGACUGAGACACGGCCCACGACUCCUACGGGAGGCAGCAGUGGGGAAUAUUGGACAAUGGGCGAAAGCUGAUCCAGCAAUGCCGCGUGAGUGAUGAAGGCCUUAGGGUUGUAAAGC
rnacentral:rRNA from 1 species